rnacentral:tRNA from 1 species
GGCUAGGUAGCUCAGUUGGUAGAGCACGGCACUGAAAAUGCCGGUGUCGGCGGUUCGAUCCCGUCCCUAGCCACCA